AUUGAACGCUGGCGGCAGGCCUAACACAUGCAAGUCGAGCGGAGCGGCGGAAGGGUGAGUAAUGCCUAGGAAUCUGACUGGUAGUGGGGGAUAACGUCCGGAAACGGGCGCUAAUACCGCAUACUAUCAGAUUAGCCUAGGUCGGAUUAGCUAGAUGGUGGGGUAAAGGUCUACCAAGGCGACGGUCCGUAACUGGUCUGGGAGGAUGAUCAGUCACACUGGAACUUAGACACGGUCCAGACUCCUACGGGAGGCAGCAGUGGGGAAUAUUGGACAAUGGGCGAAAGCCUGAUCCAGCCAUGCCGCGUGUAUGAAGAAGGUCUUCGGAUUGUAAAGCACUUUAAGUUGGGAGGCGUUACCAACAGAAUAAGCACCGGCUAACUUCGUGCCAGCAGCCGCGGUAAUAC
rnacentral:rRNA from 1 species